UUUUGUGUGUGUGUGUGUGUGUCUCUUGCAGGUUUUAAGGCUAAUAUAGUGUAAAUAACCACUGACAAAGUGUGUUAAAGCGUCUGUAUUUGUUAUUGCUACUUAUUUGUGUAUAUAAUCUGUACAAGAGUAAAGUUUACGAGUUGUUUCUUUUGAGUGCUGCACAGAGCAGCCGAAGCUACGCUAAUUCUCGUGACUAUCUGACUGCUUCCAUACAGUCCAACAUUGCGUUUAGUUUAGUUAACGAUGUGACUGGGAGGAAUUCAUGGACCAGUUGGGACUUACCUCGGACGUUGCUAUGGAGUAUCGUUGCUAUGGCGAUAAAGGAUCGCGCUGCUGUUCGGUAGAUGAGGGACUACAGAAAGAUGUACAGCUUCAGAGGGGGGAAUUUCGUGUUCCAGCCGCCUGGGAAUCCGUUCAGGUAUUCUGGUGUGUUGAAGUCCUCUGGAGAAAAUGUGCCAUCUCAGUACAUCACAGCAGACUAAAAUCAGUCAUCUCCCAGGGUACCUGACAAGAAGAGGGAGUCCUCAAUACCAAAGUCCUCAAGAUCUGGCCUCCCAUAAUAGCAGUUACUACGACCUGCAGGCUGUCCCGACGCAUCAGGGCUGCUCGAGCUCCUCUUGCCAUUAUUUCGGAUGGGUCAAGAGGAAAGAAGACCCAGUUCGGUGACGUCUUCCCCUAGAGGUCCGACCAGGAAGCAGGGUUGAAGACGUAAAGACCAGUAUAUCUGCCCUAAGAGGGAUUCUCCAAGACCACUAGAUCCUGAUCCUAGGCGACGCCAUCCUGGAGGAUAAUCGAACCCUGUCAGACUAUAACAUCCAGGAGGGGUCGACUGUCUGCCUGGUGAUCUGCCUCAGGACUGCACGUUAACACCCGUUCAACACCGAACAAAGUAAACACAAUGCCUCUUUUAAGGUUAAACCUUAAACCUUAUGCUUUGUUCAUAGAACUUCAAGUCAUUUUUUAUACAAUUUUGUAAAUCUGUUUUUGUUUUGUAAACUAGAUCCCUCAAACAUAUGAUGAAUACACUGAAUGAAUACACUGAAUGAUAUUCUGAUACUCAAUGGUGCAUCAUAUAAUUUCAUAUAUGAUCUGUCGCUCACAUGCACGUGCCGACACAUACACACACAGACACACAACCACAAACACUUCUUUUUGAAAUUCAUGUUGCUUUUGAAUUUUUUCUUUAUAUAACUUUAUUGAUCACAUUUACUUCUUUACAAAUGACCUGAUGUAUCUCCUCUCAGCGUGUGCUUUGAUAUCUUGACAUGACAUUGUUUGUGCCUUAAAUAAUGUUUUUAUUAAAGUUUUAUACAUGAACAAUAAUAAUAAAAAAAAGCAUUUAAUAAGCAUUGGAAGUGGAAUACAGAUGUUAUGAAUUCACAAAUACCUCUGUAAGUUAAUCUUUGUACAUGAGCUGAAAAAAUAUCAGUAU